rnacentral:rRNA from 1 species
UACGUAGGGUGCGAGCGUUAAUCGGAAUUACUGGGCGUAAAGCGUGCGCAGGCGGUUAUAUAAGACAGUUGUGAAAUCCCCCGGGCUCAACCUGGGAAUUGCAUCUGUGACUGUAUAGCUAGAGUACGGUAGAGGGGGAUGGAAUUCCGCGUGUAGCAGUGAAAUGCGUAGAUAUGCGGAGGAACACCGAUGGCGAAGGCAAUCCCCUGGACCUGUACUGACGCUCAUGCACGAAAGGCGUGGGGAGCAAACAGG